rnacentral:rRNA from 1 species
GCUCAGAAUCAACGCUGGCGGCGCGCCUAACACAUGCAAGUCGCACGAGAAAGCCGGGGCAACCUGGUGAGUACAGUGGCGUACGGGUGAGUAACACGUGGGUUACCUGCCCUCUGGUGGGGAAUAACCUUGGGAAACCGGGGCUAAUACCGCAUAACUCCGAGAGGAGAAAGCCGCAAGGGCGCCGGAGGAGGGGCCCGCGGCCGAUUAGCUAGUUGGUGGGGUGACGGCCCACCAAGGCUGUGAUCGGUAGCCGGCCUGAGAGGGCACACGGCCGCACUGGCACUGAAACGCGGGCCAGACUCCUACGGGAGGCAGCAGUGGGGAAUCUUGCACAAUGGGGGAAACCCUGAUGCAGCGACGCCGCGUGAGCGAUGAAGCCCUUCGGGGUGUAAAGCUCUUUCGGCAGGAAAGAUCAUGACGGUACCUGCAGAAGAAGCUGCGGCUAACUACGUGCCAGCAGCCGCGGUAAUACGUAGGCAGCGAGCGUUGUUCGGAGUUACUGGGCGUAAAGAGUGUGUAGGCGGUUCGCCAAGUUCGGUGUGAAAUCUCCCGGCUCAACUGGGAGGGUGCGCCGAAUACUGGCGGGCUUGAGUGCGGGAGAGGAAAGCGGAAUUCCUGGUGUAGCGGUGAAAUGCGUAGAUAUCAGGAGGAACACCUGCGGUGUAGACAGCUUUCUGGACCGCGACUGACGCUGAGACACGAAAGCGUGGGGAGCAAACAGGAUUAGAUACCCUGGUAGUCCACGCCCUAAACGAUGUCAACUAGGUGUUGGGACGGUUAAUCGUCUCAUUGCCGCAGCUAACGCAUUAAGUUGACCGCCUG